rnacentral:rRNA from 1 species
GAGAACGCUGGCGGCGUGCCUAACACAUGCAAGUCGAGCGGAGUCGAUCGACGGAAGCCUUCGGGCGGAGGAUGGUUGACUUAGCGGCGGAUGGGUGAGUAACGCGUGGGCAACCUGCCCCGAAGACCGGGAUAACAGCCCGAAAGGGCUGCUAAUACCGGAUGUGGUCAAGGAUCCGCAUGGAUUUUGAUUAAAGGGGAAACCCGUUUCGAGAUGGGCCCGCGUCCUAUCAGCUAGUUGGUGAGGUAAAAGCUCACCAAGGCGACGACGGGUAGCCGGCCUGAGAGGGUGACCGGCCACACUGGAACUGAGACACGGUCCAGACUCCUACGGGGGGCAGCAGUGGGGAAUCUUCCACAAUGGGCGAAAGCCUGAUGGAGCGACGCCGCGUGAGCGAAGAAGGCCUUCGGGUUGUAAAGCUCUGUCUGGAGGGACGAAGGAAGUGACGGUACCUCCGGAGGAAGCCACGGCUAACUACGUG